GGUGCAGAAGAAGUCGAUGUGCCCACAUCAGUAGAGAGAAAGAAGCUACUAUCUGUCUGAUCUCUCUCUCCAAAUCAAAGAUCCUGCCAUUGAAUCUCAUAAUGGAUCUCUCCACACCCUCCAAUCUAAUACUCAAGUUUGAUAGAAGCUCCAUCAAUGAGAAAAUAUGUGGCACAAUGGAUGAAUCCAAUGAUGGAGCAGAGAAGGCACUCGAAGAGGUAGGGUGAAACUACUGUGGUU
rnacentral:lncRNA from 1 species